GAUGGUGCUUGCACUAUCACUUAGCGGCGGACGGGUGAGUAAUGCUUAGGAAUCUGCCUAUUAGUGGGGGACAACAUCUCGAAAGGGAUGCUAAUACCGCAUACGUCCUACGGGAGAAAGCAGGGGAUCACUUGUGACCUUGCGCUAAUAGAUGAGCCUAAGUCGGAUUAGCUAGUUGGUGGGGUAAAGGCCUACCAAGGCGACGAUCUGUAGCGGGUCUGAGAGGAUGAUCCGCCACACUGGGACUGAGACACGGCCCAGACUCCUACGGGAGGCAGCAGUGGGGAAUAUUGGACAAUGGGGGGAACCCUGACCCAGCCAUGCCGCGUGUGUGAAGAAGGCCUUAUGGUUGUAAAGCACUUUAAGCGAGGAGGAGGCUCUUUUGGUUAAUACCCAGAAUGAGUGGACGUUACUCGCAGAAUAAGCACCGGCUAACUCUGUGCCAGCAGCCGCGGUAAUACAGAGGGUGCAAGCGUUAAUCGGAUUUACUGGGCGUAAAGCGCGCGUAGGCGGCCAAUUAAGUCAAAUGUGAAAUCCCCGAGCUUAACUUGGGAAUUGCAUUCGAUACUGGUUGGCUAGAGUGUGGGAGAGGAUGGUAGAAUUCCAGGUGUAGCGGUGAAAUGCGUAGAGAUCUGGAGGAAUACCGAUGGCGAAGGCAGUCAUCUGGCCUAACACUGACGCUGAGGCGCGAAAGCAUGGGGAGCAAACAGGAUUAGAUACCCUGGUAGUCCAUGCCGUAAACGAUGUCCACUAGCCGUUGGGGCCUUUGAGGCUUUAGUGGCGCAGCUAACGCGAUAAGUAGACCGCCUGGGGAGUACGGUCGCAAGACUAAAACUCAAAUGAAUUGACGGGGGCCCGCACAAGCGGUGCAGCAUGUGGUUUAAUUCGAUGCAACGCGAAGAACCUUACCUGGCUUGACAUAGU
rnacentral:rRNA from 1 species